rnacentral:rRNA from 1 species
AGAAGCGGCGGACGGGUGAGUAAUACCUAGGAAUCUGCCUGAUAGUGGGGGAUAACGUUCGGAAACGGACGCUAAUACCGCAUACGUCCUACGGGAGAAAGCAGGGGACCUUCGGGCCUUGCGCUAUCAGAUGAGCCUAGGUCGGAUUAGCUAGUUGGUGAGGUAAUGGCUCACCAAGGCUACGAUCCGUAACUGGUCUGAGAGGAUGAUCAGUCACACUGGAACUGAGACACGGUCCAGACUCCUACGGGAGGCAGCAGUGGGGAAUAUUGGACAAUGGGCGAAAGCCUGAUCCAGCCAUGCCGCGUGUGUGAAGAAGGUCUUCGGAUUGUAAAGCACUUUAAGUUGGGAGGAAGGGCAGUUACCUAAUACGUGAUUGUCUUGACGUUACCGACAGAAUAAGCACCGGCUAACUCUGUGCCA